CACACACAGCCAAAGCGAGGAGUGAAAAGGAGACAGAAAGAAAUAGAAAAAGCCUAAAUUAUAAUUAUAUAUUAUAAUUAACUGUUUGAAAGAGUGAAAGCAAAGGUCGAAACAAUACAAGUUGUAGUGCUGAGGAACUUCGGUUUGUAGUUUUAUCCGAUGUGAGACUUGGUCAGGUUUUUUUGAUUCCAUGGGAAGAAGUUUACAACAAUUUUUCAACAGUUUGAUGGCGAGCCACCCAACCAGAACCACUGUGUCUUGAAGGACGGGAUUUAAAAUUUUUUAUUAUUUUGGCUUUUCUGCAAAGUACUACAAAUGAAAAUACUCUAGAGGAGUGCCUUCAUUCAGAGUAAAAGAAAUUGUAGAGACCUUGAAAAAGACAUUUUAAUUUUGGAUGUGAUUUUUAUUUUAUUUAAGUUUUGUUAUUUUCCGUGUAUGUAUAUAUUUUAUUUUAGGCUUAACUUGGAGGGUGCAUCCUAGGAUAUUAUAUAUGUAUUGUUUAAUUUCACUCACUCUAAAUUGUAUAUAAAUCAUUCUAUAUUUACCUUUAUAAGUUGUGCUGUCACUGUUAUUGUUUCAAUCCACUACCUCCUACGUACCCUUUAGUCUUCUGAUAUCUGGUCUACACAUCAUCUAUAUAGUACAUAUUUAAUAUAUGCUACAUUUACCUAUGAUUUUAUGAACAUAAUUG
ensembl:lncRNA